rnacentral:lncRNA from 13 species
GCACCCUAUUCCCUACUCUAGAUGGCACCCUAUUCCCUACUCUAGAUGGCACCCUACUCCCUACUCUAGAUGGCACCCUACCCCCUACUCUAGAUGGCACCCUACUCCCUACUCUAGAUGGCACCCUAUUCCCUACUCUAGAUGGCANNNNNNNNNNAUUACAGGUUGUAAUGCAACAAAAUAGGAAAAACGCCAAGGGGGUGAAUACUUUUGCAAGGCCCUGUACCUGGUUUAAUUUCUACCUAUUUGGCUACUGGCUAUAACUGGGCCCAGAGUUCCUUCCUAUUUAGCUACUGGCUAUAACUGGGCCCAGAGUUCCUUCCUAUUUAGCUACUGGCUAUAACUGGGGCCCAGAGUUUCUACCUAUUUAGCUACUGGCUAUAACUGGGGCCCAGAGUUCCUUCCUAUUUAGCUACUGGCUAUAACUGGGCCCAGAGUUCCUUCCUAUUUAGCUACUGGCUAUAACUGGGCCCAGAGUUCCUUCCUAUUUAGCUACUNNNNNNNNNNCUAGAUGGCACCCUACUCCCUACUCUAGAUGGCACCCUAUUCCCUACUCUAGAUGGCACCCUACCCCCUACUCUAGAUGGCACCCUACUCCCUACUCUAGAUGGCACCCUAUUCCCUACUCUAGAUGGCAUCCUCCUCUAGAUGGCACCCUACUCCCUACUCUAGAUGGCACCCUAUUCCCUACUCUAGAUGGCACCCUAUUCCCUACAUGAAUGCACUACAUGGCACCCUGUUCCCUACACGGCACCCUAUUUAAUACACUACUUUUGACCAGGGUUUGGGACACAACCAGGACCUUGUGUUUGUUAUUGUGAGAGAGGAGAAGGAGGGAGAGGAGGAGGAGGGAGAGGAGAAGGAGGGAGAGGAGAAGGAGGGAGGGGUAGUGUUUGUUAUUGUGAGAGAGGAGAAGG